AAAAAAAAAAAAAAAGAGAACCUGCGGCUGGAACAGCAGCGAUCGGCUCUGCAGGGCCCUGUUACCCAGGGCUUCUGCUGUCACUCAGGGCUGAGGGGGCGGGGUAGGAUGCCCUAUCCAAUCGGGGUGCUGGGGCGGGGCCCUGCCAACUGUUUAUCCGCCGGAAGGAGGGCGCCGCCUUGCCAGUCUUCUUAUUCCCUGGCUUCUAGCGGCAACCCCAGAUCGGGAUUCCUUCUUUCCUGCUCUAAGAGGGACCAGGUCCCUCCUCUGUAGCUUUUUUCUCUCUGUUGCCUGCGCCGUGUCCUGGACUGCUCACGGGAGUCCUGCAGGAGACGCCGGAAUAUCUGGAAGCUGAAAAAUGACUAUAGAAAUGAUGUUAGACAAAAAGCAAAUUCGAGCGAUUUUCUUAUUCGAGUUCAAAAUGGGUCGUAAAGCAGCAGACACAACUCGCAAUGUGAACAAUGCGUUUGGCCCAGGAACUGCUAACAAAGGUACAGUACAGGGGCGGUUCAAGAAGUUUUGCAAAGAAGGAUAGGCACAAUGGCUCAGGCCUAUAAUCCCAGUACUUUGGGAGGCUGAGAUGGGAGCAUCACUUGAGGUCAGGAGUUUGAGACCAGCUGGCCAACAUGAUGAAACCUCGUCUCUACUAAAAAUACAAAAAUUAGCCAGUAUGGUGGCACGUGCCUGUAAUCCCAGCUACUUGGGAGGUUAAGGCAAGAGGAUCACUUGAACCUAAGGAGGCAGAGAUUACAGUGAGCCAAGAUCAUGCCACUGCACUUCAGCCUGGGCCACAGAGAGUGAGACUCUCUCAAAAAAAAAAAAAAAAAGCCGGGCGCGGUGGCUCAAGCCUGUAAUCCCAGCACUUUGGGAGGCCGAGGCGGGUGGAUCACGAGGUCAGGAGAUCGAGACCAUCCUGGCUAACACAGCGAAACCCCGUCUCUACUAAAAAAUACAAAAAAUUAGCCGGGCGUGUUGGCGGGCGCCUGUGGUCCCAGCUACUCGGGAGGCUGAGGCAGGAGAAUGGCGUGAACCCAGGAGGUGGAGGUUGUGGUGAGCCGAGAUCGCGCCACUGCACUCCAGCCUGGGGGACAGAGAAAGACUCCGUCUCAAAAAAAAAAAAAAAAAAAAGGCAACGAGAGCCUUGAAGAUGAGGAGCAUAGUGGCCAGCCAUCAGAAGUUACAAUGACCAACUGAGGGCAAUCAUUGCAGCUGAUCCUCUUACAACUACAUGAGAAGUUGCCGAAGAACUCAACAUUCAUCAUCCUACAGUCGUUCGGCAUUUGAAGUAAAUUGGAAAGGUGAAAAAGCUCGAUAAGGGGGUGCCUCAUGAGCUGAGUGAAAAUAAAAAGAAAUCAUUUUGAAGUGUCAUAUUCUCUUAUUCUGUGCGACAACAAACCAUUUCUCCAUCGGAUUGUGAUGCGUGAUGGGUUUUGUUCAACAGCCGGCAAUGACCAGCUCAGUGGUUGAACCAAGAAGAAGCUCCAAAGCACUUCCCAAAGCCAACUUGGACCAGAAAAAGGUCAUGGUCACUGUUUGGCGGUCUGCUGCUGGUAUGAUUCACUACAGCUUUCUGUAUCCGAGUGAAACCAUUACAUCUGAGAAGUAUGCUCAGCAAACCGAUGAAAUGCACUGAAAACUGUAAUGUCUGCAGCUAGCAUCGGUCCACAGAAAGGGCCCAAUUCUUCUCCACUACAGUGCCCAACCACAUGUCGCACAACCAAUGCUUCAAAAGUUGUUCAACAGUUGGGCUAAAAUGCUUGGCCUCAUCCACAGAUUCACAACUGAUUCAAUUGACAUUCAGAUUCACCUGACCUUCUGCCAAUCAACUACCACUUCUUCAAGCAUCUUGACAACUUUUUGCAGGGAAAACACUUCCACAACCAGCAGGAUGCAGAAAAUGCUUUCCAAGAGUUUGUCAAAUCCCGAAGCACAGAUUUUUAGGCUACAGGAAUAAACAAACUUAUUUCUCAUUGGCAAAAAUGUGUUGAUUGUAAUGGUUCUUAUUUUGAUUAAUAGAGAUGUGUUUGAAUUAUAAUGAUGUAAAAUUCACCGUCCAAAACUGCAGUUAUUUUUGCACCAACCUAAUAUUCUUAAGGACAUGUGACAUCCUGGCUCGUCUUGCCUUCCAUCAUGAGUAAGAGCUUCCUGAGCCCUCACCAGAUAGAAAAUUCCGGUGUCAUGCUCCUUGUACAACCUGUGUAACCAUGAGCCACAUAAGCUUCUUUUCAAUAUGAAUUAUCCAGCCUUAGGUAUGCUUUCAUAGAAUCAUAAAACCAACUAAUGCAGCCCUUUUGCCUUCCUAUGUUUCCACCUUGGUUUGUACACAUGUAUAUGCAGUGACAAAGUCUGUGUGUUUGUCAGGGGUGCUAUAUGUACAUGUCCUAUAAAUCUGGAAGGUUUGUGUUUUCUGGCCUGGUUGGCCUAGUAUUACCUUUCUUCUGAGUGUAACAGAAAGGAUGAGAGUAUACACCCUGUCUUGUGGGAUUUGGGGAAAAGCAGUCUUUUAUUAUCAAGAGUGAGGGUAGUUUUGCAUUUUCAUACUUGUCUUGUAGUAGGUUUUUCUUUGUUCUUAGUGCACCUCUUGUCAUAUAAUAUUAUUAUGAUUUUUUGAGAUGGAGUUUUUCUCUUGUUGCCCAGGCUGGAGUGCAAUGGUGCAAUCUUGGCUCACCGCAACUUCCACCUCCCAGGUUCAAGCGAUUCUCCUGCCUCAGCCUCCCGAGUGGCUGGGAUUACAGGCAUGCACCACCAUGCCGGGCUAAUUUUGUAUUUUUAGUAGAGACGGGGUUUCUCAUGUUGGUUAGGCUGGUCUUGAACUCCCGACCUCAGGUGAUCUGCCUGUCUUGGCCUCCCAAAGUGCUGGGAUUACAGGUGUGAGCUACCACACCUGGCCAGAAUAUUCUUUUGUAUUUCUAGUUUAUUGUUUUUAAUCAUGAGAUGUUGAGGUUUGUCACAUGCUUUUUCUGUAUCUACUAGGACAUUGGUUUUUGAUGUUGAUUCUAUUUUGUGUAUUGAAUGAAUUGAUUUUCAGAGAUAAAAGUAAUAUUGCUUUCCUGGAUUAAAAUUCCACUUGAUCAUGAGGUUUAGAUACUGUCACAUAUUGCUGAAUUUUUUUGUAAAUAUGUUGCUGAGGCUAUUUCAGAAUUUAAGGGAGAUAUUCAUGUACAGUAUUAUAGUACAGCCUGACAUCUUGUAUAGCGUAUGGUGUGAUGUGUGUAUAUAUACGUGUAUAUACAUGUACACUUGCAGUGUAUGUAUAUAUGAUUUAGUUACAUAACUUGCACAUUAUAUAUAACUGCCACUUAAAAAUAGUGUUAUAGUAUAUAGCAUGAAAUUAUUAUAAUAUGAAUUUAGUUUUAUCCUCCAUAGUUUAGUGGAUUUCAUUACCAUGUCAGCCUGCAGAAUUAUUCAAAUAUUCCAGUCUUAUCCUUUCAUGGGAAGAGAGGAGAAACUCCCUCUCUUGAUGUUACAGAAAGUGCCACCCCAAAAAAGUCUUCAUAAUCUUUUUUUUUUUUUUUUUUUUGGAGAUGGAGUCUCCCUCUGUCACCCAGGCUGGAGUGCAGUGGUGCAAUCUUGGCUCACUGCAAGCUCUGCCUCCCGGGUUCACACCAUUCUCCUGCCUCAGCCUCUCCGAGUAGCUGGGACUACAGGCACCCACCACCACGCCUGGCUAAUUUUGUUGUAUUUUUAGUAGAGAUGGGUUUUCACUGUGUUAGCCAGGAUGUUCUCGAUCUCCUGACCUCGUGAUCCGCUUGCCUUGGCCUCCCAAAGUGCUGGGAUUACAGACAUGAGCCACAGCACCCAGCCUUUUUUUUUUUUUGAGACAGAGUCUUGCUCUGUUGCCCAGGGGCCUGAUCGCUGCUCACUGCAACCUCUGCCUCCCAGGUUCAAGUGAUUAUCGUGCUUCAGCCUCCUGAGUAGCUGGGAUUACAGGUGCCCAGCACCACGCCCAGCUAAUUUUUGUAUUUUUAGUAGAUUUGGGGUUAUGUUCACCAUGUUCACCAUGGCUGGUCUCCAACACCUGACCUCAAGUGAUCCUCCCACCUCGGCCUCCCAAAGUGCUGGGAUUACAAGUGUGAGCCACUACGCCUGGCGCCAAAAAUCUUAAUAAUCUUGAACUUAGGAAAAAGAUUCUACGACAUGACACCAGGAGCCCUAGGAUCAAAGAACAAGUAUGUCAUUUAGACCACAUCAGAAUUUAAAACUUUUGUGCAUCUGGCCAGGAAUGGUGGCUCACACCUGUAAUCCCAGCACUUUGGGAUGCCUAGGUGGGUGGAUCAUGAGGUCAGGAGUUCAAGACCAGCCUGGCCAACAUGGUGAAACACCAUCUCUACUACAAAUAGAAAAAUUAGCUGAGCAUGGUGUCACAUGCCUGUAAUCCCAGCUACUCAGGAGACUGAGGCAGGAGAAUCGCUUGAACCCAGGAGGUGGAGGUUGUAGUGAGCCGAGAUCACGCCACUGCACUCCAGCCUCGGCAACGGAGCAAGACUCCGUCUAAAAACAGAAACAAAAAACUUUUGUGCUUCAAAAAACACUGUCAAGAAAUUGAAGCAUAUGUGGCCAUGCCACCCUAAACGCAUCUGUUCGCCAUAGCUAAGCGGGAUUGGAGCUGGUUAGUAAAUGGAUGGAGAAUUUCUGGGAAUACUGGGUGCUAUAUGCUUUAAAAAAAAGAAAAAAAAAAGAAGAAGAAGAAGGUGGGGAAUUUGACAAGAGAAUUCCCCAAAUGAGAGAAAACCUUCCAUAUUGAAAAUCUGGUCAUUCCCCUUCAUGACACAGGGUAGAGGCUGUAUUGGUAGUCAGCACUCUGAGGCAUCGUGGCCCAUUACUGCAGGAAAUAAACUGUACCCUGCAGUUCUCUCUGGCAGUGUUGUGCCCACAGUCCCCAGUCUCUCCCAGUUUAUGGGGUGACAACAAAGUGGUCAUCAGGAGAGAAAUCUGACCUUGUGUUUGGAUUUGUGAGUAUAGACACUCUCAGGACACCCUCCUUCCUCCCCAAAGAAAGGCAGCUUUUUAUCACCAACCAUUCCAGACAUAGGAAGCAGGGUCUCAAGUCUAAGUCCUUAUUCCAUGCAAAAGGAGAUUACACUGAAAACUUGUUAAAAAUGUCAAGGAAGGCUUCAUUCAACACAAUUGCAGUAUGUGUCAGGAGAACUGUAGUAUGGGAAAAAGAUUGAACUCAAUCUUGAAUGCAUCAACAAGAGAAUUAUAGCUAAAGGGCAGGGUGAGGGAGAGGAUGGAAUUUGGUUAGGUGUCAAGAGUUGGGAGACUGAUUAAUUAUCAUAGAUGGGGGAAAUGGAACUUGAUUAGAUACCAAGUUUUGAGGGCAUUCUAAGCUCAAAGCCUGGUCAAGAAGAGGGUUCUGAGGAGCCUGACUCAACUUUGGUCAAGGAAGGAGUCCUUGAGAUUCUCCCAGCCUACUUCUUGCUAGGGCUAAUGAUAAAUCCUUAAAUUUCUGGUUUCCUCCCCACAUUCCAGAACACCCAUUUCCCCUCUCUAGUGGACAUUAUCAACUAUGUGUCCCCAAUGAUACAUUUGAAACUGCUGCAAUAUUGUUUAUUUUUUGACAGAGCAAUAAGUGGCUCUGUGUAAGUUUGAGACAGAGUCUCUCUCUGUUGCCGAGGCUGGAGUGCAGUGGCACAAUCUGGGCUCACUGCAACCUCCACCUCCUGGGUUCAAGCUGUUGUCCUGCCUCAGCCUCCUGAGUAGCUGGAUUACCUAUGUAUGCCACCACACUGUGCUAAUUUUUUGUAUUUUUAGUAGAGACAGGGUUUCACCAUGCUGGCCAGGCUGGUCUUGAACUCAUGACUUCAAGUGAUCCACCCGCCUCAGCCUCCCAAAGUGCUGGAAUUUACAGGUGUGAGCCACCGCACCUGACCUCUAUGUAAAUUUUUAAAUGUUGUUUAUAAAUAUUUUUCAUGAGUGGAAAACACUCAAUAACCACUCAACUACAUUGUGUAAAUCCUUGUGCCUAAUGACUCCUGAUGUCAACCAUCUUUCGGGUGCUUACUAGCCAUUUGUAUAUAUCUUGCAGAAAUGUCAUUCAGAUACUUUCCCAUCUUUUAAGGAAUUAGUUUUUUACUUGGUACGAUAAUUCAUUAUAGUUAAGUAUUGUAAGAAAUCUUAAAUGUACCAGCUGAAGGAAUUUUACAUGUACAGUUAAGAUAGUUUGACAGAUCUACUUCUCUAAGAUGAAUAAUACUGUAUUUUUAUUUUUGUGACUGGCUUUUUGCAAUUAGUAUACAUUGCUUAUACCAUGGAACAGGAUGUUAUUUUCUAAGGCUAAAUAAUAUUCCAUUGUGUGUAUAUGCUUACCACAUUUUGGUUAUCCAUUCAGCCAUCAAUGGACAUUGAUGGAUUGAUCCACCUCUUGGCUAUUGUGAACCAUGGUUUUCAAAUAUCUCUUCAAGAUCCAAUUUUCAAUUUAUUUGAAUUGAAUUAAAAUAGACCUGGAAGACCGGGCGCGGUGGUUCACGCCUGUAAUCCCAGCACUUUGGGAGGCCGAGGCGGGCGGAUCAUGAGGUCAGGAGAUUGAGACCAUCCUGGCUAACAUGGUGAAACCCUGUCUCUACUAAAAAUACAAAAAAUUAGCCGGGGGUGGUGGCGGGCGCCUGUAGUCCCAGCUACUCGGGAGGCUGAGGCAGGAGAAUCGCUUGAACCCGGGAGGCGGAGCUUGCAGUGAGCCAAGAUCGUGCCAUUGCACUCCAGCCUGGGCAACAGAGCGAGACUCCUGUCUCAAAAAAAAAAAAAAAAAAAAAGGCCGGGCACGGUGGCUCACGCCUGUAAUCCCAGCACUUUGGGAGGCCGAGGUGGGCGGAUCAUGAGGUCAGGAGAUCGAGACUACGGUGAAAUCCCGUCUCUACUAAAAAUACAACAGGCCAGGCGCGGUGGCUCAAGCCUGUAAUCCCAGCACUUUGGGAGGCCGAGGCGGGCGGAUCACGAGGUCAGGAGAUCGAGACCAUCCUGGCUAACACGGUGAAACCCUGUCUCUACUAAAAAUACAAAAAAUUAGCCGGGCGUGUUGGCGGGCGCCUGUAGUCCCAGCUCCUCGGGAGGCUGAGGCAGGAGAAUGGCCUGAACCCGGGAGGCGGAGCUUGCAGUGAGCCGAGAUCGCGCCACUGCACUCCAGCCUGGGUGACACAGCAAGACUCCGUCUCAAAAAAAAAUACAACAAAUUAGCCGGGCGUAGUGGCGGGCGCCUGUAGUCCCAGCUACUUGGGAGGCUGAGGCAGGAGAAUGGCGUGAACUCGGGAGGCGGAGCUUGCAGUGAGCCGAGAUUGCGCCACUGCGCUCCAGCUUGGGCGACAGAGUGAGACUCCGUCUCAAAAAAAAAAAAAAAAAAAAAAAAAAAAAAAAAAAAGACCUGGAAAUGGGUUGCUGGAAGAUAACAUUUUUUAAAUUAGCUUUUGGGUACCACCAUACUGUUUUCCAUAGAGGUUGAACCAUUUUACAAUCCUUUGGACAGAGCACAUGGGUUCUAGUUUUUCAACAUUCUUUCCAAAACUUUAUAUUUGGGGUGUUUGAAUUUUUUUCUUUGUAGUUGAGUGUAGGAGUUGAUUAUAUUUUCUGAAUAUUAAAACCUUGCCAGAUGCA